CUGAGAAGCGUGAGUUUGUCAUUAAUUGUUUAUCAAGACAUAGGAUAGGUUGUGUGAAAAUAUUACUGAUGUUUAACGUUAAAAAUGGAGCAAAAGAUUAAUGCUAAACAACGUUUGACAUGUUUGAACGAACGUAAAUAGAUUAUUUACUAGGUUUUUUUAGCUUUUCGGCGUGAUUUUACAACCCCCCCACCACGUUUUGUGGGAGCAUAAUGAACGCUAACUACUUGGUGUUAUUUGGACAUAAAUUAUGAACUUUGUCAAAAGAAACCACAUUUGUUCCGGACCUGGGAUUCCUGGCAGUGCCUUCUGAUGGAGAUAAUCAAAGAGGUCCGCAGGACGUCGGACAUCUGGAGCGUGGGGUGCACCGUGUUUGAGACAGCCACUGGGAAGCAGUCACUGUUGCACAGGGACAGUGUUCUCCUUGCAUUGUUCUACAUCUGUGAGGAGAGGCCCAAUGCCUGACGGGUUCUCAGAGGACACCAGGGACUGUGUCUGGCUGUCCAGGGGAGUUGAUUUAUGAUUCUGUACUUACAAGCAAAAUGUUAAAUAUAAUAAUUUUAAAGGAAUAGUUCAACCAAAGAACUGUAUCCUUGCCUUGAAUGUAGUCUCUGGAUAAGCAGAGAUUGGAAUCUACACUGUGGGUCAGUAUAGAAAGCUACAAAGACU
rnacentral:lncRNA from 1 species